rnacentral:rRNA from 1 species
UACGAAGGGUGCAAGCGUUGCUCGGAAUUACUGGGCGUAAAGCGCGCGCAGGCGGUCCUUCAAGUCAGAGGUGAAAGCCCAGAGCUCAACUCUGGAACGGCCUUUGAGACUAGAGGACUUGGGUACGGGAGAGGUGAGUGGAAUUCCGAGUGUAGAGGUGAAAUUCGUAGAUAUUCGGAAGAACACCAGUGGCGAAGGCGGCUCACUGGCCCGUUACCGACGCUCAGGCGCGACAGCGUGGGGAGCAAACAGG